AUGAAGCUCCUUUGCUGGAACAUUAGGGGCUUCGGCAACCUGGGCCAUCGACGCCAACUGAUUGACUAUAUCCGGCAGGAAGAUAUCGACAUAGUAGGUCUUCAGGAGACGAUUCAUUAGGACUUCUCCAUUCAGGAGUUACAGGGGCUCUCUCGACACCCAUUUGCCUGGCAAUGGCUGCCGGCGUCUGGGUUGUCUGGAGGCAUACUCCUGGCGGUCAGGGAGGAUUUCUUUUCAGUGGAUGAUAUAUGGACCACGGAGAAUUUUUUUCCUUAG
rnacentral:rRNA from 1 species